rnacentral:rRNA from 1 species
GUAGGGAAUAUUGGACAAUGGGCGAAAGCCUGAUCCAGCCAUGCCGCGUGAUAGAUGAAGGCCCUCUGGGUUGUAAAUAUCUUUUAUCUGGGAAGAAACUCCUCUAUUCUUAGAGGCCUGACGGUACCAGAGGAAUAAGCACCGGCUAACUCCGUGCCAGCAGCCGCGGUAAUACGGAGGGUGCAAGCGUUAUCCGGAUUCACUGGGUUUAAAGGGUGCGUAGGCGGGUUGAUAAGUCAGUGGUGAAAGCUCCGGGCUUAACUUGGAAACUGCCAUUGAUACUGUCAGUCUUGAAUGUCGUAGAGGUAAGCGGAAUGUUGCAUGUAGCGGUGAAAUGCUUAGAUAUGUUACAGAACGCCAAUUGCGAAGGCAGCUUACUAUGCGAUAAUUGACGCUGAGGCACGAAAGCGUGGGGAGCAAACAGGAUUAGAAACCCCGGUAGUCC